GACAUGCGCCGCAGGUUCUUGCAGAGGGAGUGCCAGCAGCACUUCAGGGCAUGGAGGCCAGCCAGACUGUGAUGACCCAUGACCCCCAGACAUCUGACACCACAGGAAGAGGAGAGGCUGUGGGAAUCCCAAGACGACAAGCCAUGGAGGAACAGAUUUGAGUGCCUGAAUCCUGCAUGGGGAUGCUGAAAUGGACACUCAGCACCAGGAAAAUGUUAUGGAUGUUUCUAUGAAGCAUAGAAAGAGGUACUUACAGCUGCAUGACCAGAAUUUAAAUAUUGAUCUUCCUUUCAUCUCAUUCUUCCACCUUUAAUGAGAUGCAAAUUUGUGCAGCAACAGUGGCAAAUGGACCUUACACUUAGGGCGAUCGAUGGUUUUGGUUCUGAAGGUGCAUGUUGUGGGAAAAUAGUUUGCUCUGCUUCACAUUCAAAAUUACACUCACUUCUUCAGCACUGCGAUUUCAUUCUCCAGGCUGCUGUCCUGGAUGACAGGGGACUUCUUGAUGCACUUUAGAGCAAAGAGCUUCCCAGUGAUCCUUUGCUUCACUAGGAAAACUUCUGAAAAAGCACCUCUAUGGAGAAAACACAGAUGAAGGACAAAGGUGUUUCAAUAGAUGGCAAAGUUGUAAGCUGGAAGCAAAUACAUGUGGAGAAGGAGCUGAAGUAAAAAGCAGGCAAGUAAUUGAAUAAUGAUUAAAGCUUCCACGAUAAGUGGAUGGCAUUUGUAAUUGGCCACCACAUAUCUAGGAUACCAUUAUUGUGAUGUAUAUAUGGCUUCAAUAUUCUAUUGAUUUCAUGUUGCCAUUUGGAAAUGU